AUCUCCAGUAAUAUGCAACAGUACACCUUGUUGGUAGUGUUCUUCUUAUAUCACCCAGGGGCAGAGCAGAUGAGAGUCCUUUGUUCAUCCUAGCUUGAUGCCUGGCUUGGUAGCCAAAGCUGUCUUAUGCCUGGGACUCAUAA
rnacentral:snoRNA from 1 species